rnacentral:SRP_RNA from 1 species
CAGAAAAUAAAGCCCCCGACACCCCGCAGCGAGCAGGCCAUUCUGG